rnacentral:rRNA from 1 species
GGGUCAGUAGGUUGGUCGUGCCACCGGUACGUACUGGUCUCACUGAUACCCCCUUCCUGAAGAACCGUAAUGCCAUUAAUUUGGUGUUGCGGGGAAACAGGACUGUUACUUUGAAAAAAUUAGAGUGUUUAAAGCAAGCUAACGCUUGAAUACAUUAGCAUGGAAUAAUGAAAUAGGACGAUCGAUCCUAUUUUGUUGGUUUCUAGGAUUGACGUA